rnacentral:rRNA from 1 species
GAUGAACGCUGACAGAAUGCUUAACACAUGCAAGUCUUUGGCGAAGCUGUGCUUGCACAGCCUAGCCAAGGCGGACGGGUGAGUAACGCGUAAGGAACUUGCCCUGCAGUCAGGGAUAACAGACGGAAACGACUGAUAAGACCUGGUAAAGUCAGGCGGACUCAUGUCCAGCCUGAUGAAAAGAGAUGCUGCAGGAGAGCCUUGCGUCCUAUUAGCUUGUUGGUGGGGUAACGGCCCACCAAGGCGAUGAUAGGUAGCCGGCCUGAGAGGGUGGACGGCCACAAGGGGACUGAGAUACGGCCCUUACUCCUACGGGAGGCAGCAGUGGGGAAUAGUGGACAAUGGGGGCAAUCCUGAUCCAGCAAUUCUGUGUGCACGAUGAAGGUUUUCGGAUUGUAAAGUGCUUUCAGCAGGGAAGAAAAAAAUGACGGUACCUGCAGAAGAAGCGACGGCUAAAUACGUG